ensembl:lncRNA
AUUAAAUGUAAAAUUGAUUUCAACUUCUUAGGAUCAUUAUUCUUCUUCAAUGUCACAAUCCUUGUUACUUACUUGGUUUUAUCUUACCUCUCUUGGAUAGUUAGAAUUGAAUACCAUUAUUUCUUUAGCUCAAGAAUAUAACAAAAAAUGACCUUGAUUUUAAUUUUUAUAUUUUGAGAAGAUGGCUCUAUUUCAGUUGGGCAGUCUGGGAAUGUCUCACUGAAGAGUAAUAUUUGAGCAGUGUCCUGAAUAGAAGGAGGAGACAAGUCAAGUGAAUACCUAAGAAAGAAUCUUCUCAAGACAGGGAAUGACAACUCAAAGGCUGUGAGGAGGAAAAGAGUUUGAUAAAAGGAGAGGUGUGAAGAUGAGAUCUUGUGGGAGCACAACAUUAAGAGGUCAAGAAAGAAGAUCCUGAGAAAGAAGAGCCCCUGAAGACAGAGGGAAACCCGGAGAUUCUGUUGUUCCAGAAGGUAAGUGAUUAAGUAAUUUCGAGAAGACCAAAUGUGAGUGAGAGGUUAUGUAGACUGGAGAUAAUGAAACGAUCAUUUAACUUAGUAUUGUAGAGAGUGUUGUUGAUGUUGACAAGGAAAGUUUAGGGGUAGAGAUAUAGGACAGAGUUUGGUUAGCAUAGAUUCAAGAGGAAAAGAGAUGCAAAGGAAUGGAGACAGUGAAUCUAGGUGGCUCUUUUUGAGCUAUUUUAUUAUAAAAAGGAGAAGAGCAGUAGUUGGAGGGAGUUAAGGAACCACAAAAGACAUUUGCUUGCUUUAAAGUCCAAUAGAUUAGGAAACAUUUACAAUGAAGAACAGAGGAGAGAUGAUUGUGGAAGCAAUGUUUUUGAGUAGGCAAGAGGAGAUGGAAUUCAAUGCCCAGAUGAAAGAGUUGAACUUAGGUAACUGCAGGGACACUUCAACAAUUAUGAGAAGAUGAAGGCAGAAUAUAUGAGUGCAGAUGCAAGUCAGAUGUUGAUUUAGGGGAGAAGAAUAAAGACAUUCUUUUCUGAUUGUUUUAAUGUUUUAUUAGAAAGAUCCAAAGGCAUCAGCUGAUGUUCAGAUAGAAAGACAGGGUACUGGAGAAGUGAAGGGAGGGUUAUAGGUGAAGUAGUAGUCUUACAGAGUGGGAAAGUGUUUUCACUAAGAUAAUACAGCAGGAUUGCUGGCAGUACUGAGAGUCCACUUGAGAUUUGUGUCAUAAAUUUAAAGUGAUACCUGUCUGCUUUCUGUGUAUUCUAUUCUAGUCAUUUUGAUGUUGAGACAGAGGUAUAGUGUGAAUAUAAAGAAUUAUGUUCAAUCAUGGUAAAGAUUAUUCUGUGCAAAUAUAAUGGGAGGAUAGAGGGGCAAGAGAGUUGAGAGUGUAUGAAAGGAAGUAAUUAUAGUAAUGGGAUAUAGGAUGCAAAAUACAAGGGCACUGGCACAGUAGAUAAGUGGAUUGAAAGUCCUAGUGACAUUGAAGAAUUGUAGGAAAAGAAGUAUUGGAGACAGAGAUGUCAAGAUGACAGUGUAGGUAGACUCUGAACUCACCUCCUCCCAUGGACACAACAAAUUUGCAACUACUAUGGGAACAAUUACAACUGGUAGAGAACUGGAAAAUGGAUAAAAAGAACCUCAGCAACAAGGGACAGUCCUGACUGAAAUGGAAGAAGCAGAAAUUCCUUUCUGGAGAGAAAAAGUGCCACCUUUGCAAGCUGCGGUGUUUCGUGGCUGGCCGGGAGCAAUCCUAAGGAAUACAACCUUCCCUGGAGGAGUGGGAACGUCACAAGGGAAUGUUAAUGCUAUAAGCAUCCUUUGGACUCAGCACAAGCAAGACAAGUAUCAGAAUAUCUGACUUUGCUGGCUAUUAACUACAAUAGGGAAUAUUCCUAGAAAAGCUAUAGGACAUAAGGGAAUAAAAAACUUGCUCUUAAAAUGCCCAUGCACAAAUUCACCCAUUUGGGAAAGCAACUUAAAAUCACCAGAAAGAAAGGUGCACAGUCCUUUGGUGAAAAAAGACCCACCUGAUAGGCUGAGUGCAUCUUGGUAAGAGGUGAGACUUCUCCAUGGACUGAGACAUUGGCAGUAGCCAUUAUUGUGACCUAGUACAGGUGUGCUGAUUCAGAUGCUGGCAGACACCAUUGGGGUUAUUCUGCUGGCCUGUUAGCCCAGGGUCUGCCCCACCCACUAGAGUACUGAUUUAAUCCAGCUCAGUCAGGGCAGGCAGCCUGCCCUAGAGACUUGCCCCACCCAACAGCAAGCCCUUGGGUACCUUGUGGGCCUUCAUAGGCUGGGUGCCAGGAGCAGCAGGGCAAGGGGUCUGCCUCUGCAGGGCAGGGCAUGCAUGAGGAGUGGGUGGAGUGUGUCUGGCAUUGGUGGAGUGGGUAGAGCCUUGGCAAUGAGGCAACUGGAUCCACUUUAGGAGGUUGGGGCAUGUGCAUGCAGUAGAACUGUGCUGAUGGUGUGCGUGACUGCGUGGACGGUGGGGCUUGUCAGCUGCAGAAGAUUUGUGAUUCUCAAAUAGCCACAUAGGGGAUUGGCCUCACCUUCCAAUGACUGAAACAAUUGAGUGCUCUCAUGCCUUGGGCCAGCCCUACUUAGCUGCAAUCCUAAGAGAGCUGACAAGAGCCUUGAAAGCUGGAGGCCUUCAGCAAUACUAAGCCCCUGAGCCUAGCAACGAUCCACACUGGGGGCCUACUCACUUAACAGAAAAACUGCAAUAUGAAUGUGCUAUUAGACCUUGCAGCCAACUGUGCUGGGGCUCCCCACACACAAUAAAGUGACUGAUGGCUCUAUAGCAGUGACACACAGCUGAACAUUACAACCCACUAACCAAGGGCAUGAACUGCCUCCCAGGGUAUCUGCAGCACGAGCAACCCUGCCACAACAGAAGGAGACAUGCAGCCCACACAGGGAACACUCCUGCAACUUUUGGAACUGGUAACAGGAGAGAAGCACACUUCUGGGCCUCAUAAGGCAUCUCUUACACAAGGACACCUCUCCAAGAUUGGGAGAUGUAGCUGACCUACCUAGUGCAUAUAUAUAAGCACAGAGAAAGAGGCAAAAUGAGGAGGCAAAGGAAGAUGUUCCAAGUAAGGGAACAGGACAAAACCCCAGAAAAAGAACUGAAUGAAACAGAAAUAAGCCAUCUACCUGACAGAGAGUUCAAACAAAAGGCCAAGGAUGCUCACUGAUCUUUGGGAGAAGAAUGGAUGAACUCAGUGAGAACAUCAACAAAGAAUUGAAAAAUAUGAAAAAGAACCAAUUACAAAUGAAGAAUACAAUACUGGAAAUGAAAAGUUCACUAGAGGGAUUCAAUAGCAGAGUAGAUGAUAUAGAAGAAUGGAUCAGUGAGCUAGACAAAAGACUAGAGGAAAUCACCAGAGCUGAACAAAUAAAAGAAAAAAUAAUUUAAAAGAAUGCGAAAAGGCUAAGGGACAUCUGGGGCAAUAUCAAGUGCACUAACAUUUAUGUGAUAGGGGUCCCAGAAGGAGAAGAGAGAGACAAAGGGGUAGAGAAUCUAUUUGAACAAAUAAUAGCUGAAACAUUUCCUAACCUAAGGAAGAAACAGACACCCAGGUACAAGACACACAGAGAGCACCAAACAAGAUAAACCCCGAGAGAUCCACACCAAGGCACAUUAUAAUUAAAAUGUCAAGAAUUAGAAAUAAAGAGAGAAUCCUAAAAGCCCCAAGAGAAAGACAACAAAUUAUGUACAAAAGAAACUCCAUAAGGCUAUCAGCUGACUUCUCAGCAGAAAGCUUACAGGCUAGAAAGGAGUGGCAUGAUAAAUUUAAAGUGCUGAAAGGAAAAUACCUAUAGACCAGAAUAUUCUACCCUGCAAGGUUAUCAUUCCGAAUGUAAGGAGAGAAAAAGAGUUUCCCAGACAAGCAAAAAUUAUAGGAGUUAAUCACCAAGAAACCAGCCUUAUAAGAAAUGCUAAAGGGUCUUAGCUAAGUGGGAACAAGAAGACCACGAAGAGGAAUAACGAAAUUAUCAAAAAAACGGCAAUAAAAUCACUGAUAAAGGCAAAAAUACAGUAAAGGUAGCAGAUCAACCACCUAUGAGGAUAAUAUGAAGGUGAAAACACAAAAAUACAAAAAUUGCCUAUUCCCAUGAUAAGCAGGUAACAGAUACACACACACACAAAGAGGUUAGAUAUGAUGUCAAAAACAAAAAGUGGGAGGAGGGGAAUAAAAGAGUAGAGCUUUUAGCAAGAGGUCAAAUUAAAGAGACCAUCAACUUAAUAUAGAUUGCUAUAUAUGUAGGUCGCUAUAUGUUAACCUCAUGGUAAUCACAAACCAGAAAUCUAUAAUAAAUACACAAAAACUUAAGAAAAAGAAACCCAAACAUAAUACUAAAGAAAACCAUCAAACCCCAAGGGAAGAGAACAAGAGAAUGAAAAGAGAAGAACUACUAAAAUACCCAGAAAAAAAGUAACAAAAUGGCAAUAAGUACAUACUUAUCAAUAGCAACUUUAAAUGUCAAUGGACUAAAUGCUCCAAUCAAAAAGCAUAGGGUGGCCGAUUGGAUUGAAAAAACAAGACCUAUGUGUAUACUGCAUACAGGAAACACUUCAAACUUAAAGAAAGUCACACACUGGAAGUGACAGGAUGGAAAAAGAUACUCCAUGCAAAUGGCAAUGAAAAGAAAGCUGGGGUUAUCAAUACUUACAUCAGACAAAAUAGACUUUAAAACAAAAACUGUAACAAGAGACAAAGCAGGGCACUACAUAAUGAUAAAGAGAACAAUCCUACAAGAGGAUGUAAUGCUUAUAAAUAUUUAUACACCCGACAUAGGAACACCCAAAUAUAUAAAGCAAUUAUUAACAGACGUAAAAGGAGAAAUAGACAGUAACACAAUAAUAGUAGGGGACUUUAACACUCCACUUACACCAAUGGAUAGAUCAUCCAAACAGAAGAUCAAUAAGGAAACAUUGACCUUGAAUGACAUUUUAGACUAGAUGGACUUAGUAGAUAUAUACAGAACAUUCCAUCCAAAAAUUGUAGACUACACAUUCUUUUCAAAUGAGCAUUCUCCAGGAUAGAUCACAUAUUAAGCCACAAGACAAGUCUCAAUAAAUUAAGGAAGACUGAAAUAAUAACAAGCAUCUUUUCUGACCAUGAUGGUAUGAAACUGGAAACCAACUUCAAGAAGAAAAUCAGAAAAGCCACAAAUAUGUGGAGAUUAAACAAAAUGUUAUUGAAUAACAAUUGGGUCAUGAAGAAAUCAAAGGAGAAAUAAAGAAAGACCUGGAGACAAACGAAAAUGAAAAUACAACGUGUCAAAAUUUAUGGGAUGCAUCAAAAGUGGUUCUAACAGGGAAGUUUAUAGAAAUACAGGUCUACCUUAACAAACAAGAAAAAUCUCAAAUAAACAAUCUAACAGUGCACCUGAAGGAAGUGGAAAAAGAACAACCAAACCCCAAAAUCAGCAGGAGAAAGGAAAUAAUAAAAAUCAGAGGAGAAAUAAAUGAAAUAGAGACAAAAAAAAAAAAUAGAAAAUAUCAUUGAAACCAAGAGCUGGUUCUUUGAAAAUAUAAACAGAAUUGACAAAUCGUUAGCCAGACUCACCAAGAAAACAAGAGAGAAUGCUCAAAUAAAUAAAGUCAGAAAUGAAAGAAGGGAAAUUACAGUGGACACCUCAGAAAUACAAAAGAUUAUAAGAGAAUACUAUGAAAAACUUUACGCCAACAAAUUGGAUAAUCCAGAAGAAAUGAACAAAUUCUUAGAAUCAUAGAACCUUCCAAAACUGAAUCAAGAAGAAAGAGAGAAUUUGAGUAGACAAAUCAUCAGUAAUGAGAUUGAAACGAUAAUCAAAAACCUCCCCAAAGAUAAAGGUCCAGGACCAGAUGGCUUCCCUGGUCAAUUCUACCAAAAAUUCAAAGAAGAAUUACUGCCUAUCCUCCUCAAACUCUUCAAAAAAAUUCAAGAGAAGGGGAAGCUUCCUAACUCAUUCUACAAAGCCAAAAUUACCCUUAUACCAAAAGCAGAUAAGGACAACACAGAAAAAGAAAAUUACAGGCCAAUAUCACUAUUGAACAUCAGUGCAAAAAUCCUCAACAAAAUACUAGCAAAUCAAAAACAACAAUACAUUAAAAAGAUCAUACGCCAUGAUCAAGUGGGAUUUAUUCCAGGGAUGCAGGGAUGGUUCAACAUCUGCAAAUCAGUUAACAUGAUACAUCACAUUAACAAAAUGAAGAAUAAAAAUCACAUGAUCAUCUCAAUAGAUGCAGAGAAAGCAUUUGACAAGAUACAGCAGCCAUUUAUGUUAAAAACUCAGAAUAAAAUGGGUAUAGAAGGAAAGUGCCUCAACAUAGUAAAAGCCAUGUAUGACAAAUCCACAGCUAAUAUCAUUCUCAAUUGAGAAAUAGUGACAGCUAUCCCUCUAAGAACAGGAACCAGCCAAGGAUGCCCACUUUCACCACUCUUAUUUAACAUAGUAUUGGAAGUCCUAGCCAGAGAAAUUGGGUAAGAAAAGGAAAUAAAAGGGAUCCAAACUGGAAAUGAAGGAAAACUGUCACUAUUUGCAGAUGACAUGAUUUUAUAUAUAGAAAACCCUAAAGAAUCCACCAAAAAGCUUUCAGAAAUAAUAAAUGGAUAUAGGAAAGUUGCAGGAUACAAAAUCAACAUAGAAAAAUCAGUUGUUUCUAUACACUGAAAAUAAAUUAGCAGAAAGAGAAAUUAAGAGUAAAAUCCCAUUUAUAACUGCAAGAAAAAGAAUAAAAUACCUAAGGAUAAACUUAACCAAAGAGGUGAAAGAUAUGUACACUGAAAACUAUAGAACAUUGUUGAAAGAAAUUGAAGAAGACACAAAAAAUGGAAAGAUAUUCCAUUCUCUUGGAUUGGAAGAAUUAACAUAGUUAAAAUGGCCAUACUUCCUACAGCAAUCUACAGAUUUGAUGCAAUUCCUAUCAAAGUUCCAAGAAAAUUUUUCACAGAAAUAGAACAAAGAAUCCUAAAAUUUAUGUGGAACAACGAAAGACCCUGAAUAGCCAAAGGAACACUGAGAAAAAAGAAGAAAGCCGAAUGUAUCACACUUUCUGAUUUCAAAAUAUACUGCAAAGCUAUAGUAACCAAAACAGCAUGGUACUGGCAAAAAAACAGACACACAGAUAAACAGAACAGAAUCGAGGGCUCAGAAAUAAACUCACACAUCUCUGGACAGCUAAUUGUCGACAAGAGGGCCAAGAACAUACAAUGGAGAAAGGAAAGUAUCUUCAAUAUUUGGUGUUGGGAAAAUUGGACAGCCACAUGCAAAAGAAUGAAAGUAGAUCAUUAUCUUACACAAUACACAAAAAUUAACUGAAAGUGGAUCAAAGACUUGAAUGUAAGACCUGAAACCAUGAAACUUCUUGAAGACAACAUAGGCAAUACGCUCUUCGACAUGUGUCUUAGAAGCAUAUUUUCAAGGACCAUGUCUUACUUGGCAAGGAAGCAAUAGAAAAAAUAAACAAAUGAGACUACAUCAAACUAAAAAUCUUCUGCACAGCAAAGGAAACCAUCAGCAAAAGGAAAAGACAAUGUAACAAUUGAUAGAAGAUAUUUGCAAACUAUAUAUCUGAUAAGGAGUUAAUAUCCAAGACAUAUAAAGAACUCACAUAUCUCAACAACAAAAAAACUAACAACUCUUAAAAAAUGGGCAAAAGAUUUGAACAGACACUUCUCCCAAGAAGACAUACAGAUGGCCAACAGGCACAGGAAAAGAUGCUCAACAUCAUUAACUAUUAGGGAAAUGCAAAUCAAAACUACAAUGAGAUAUCACCUCACUCCAGUCAGUAUGGCUAUAAUUAACAAGAAAAGAAACAACAAGUGUUGGAGAGGAUGUGGAAAGAAGAGAACCCUCAUACCAUGCUGGUGAAAGUGCAAACUGGUGUAGCCACUAUGGAAUGCAGUAUGGAGAUUCCUCAAAAAAUUAAGAAUAGAACUACCGUUUGAUCCAGCUAUUCCACUGUUGGGUAUUUAUCCAAAGAACAGGAAAACACGAAUGCAUAAAGAUACAUGCACCCCAUGUUCAUUUCAGCGUUAUUCACAAGCCAAGACUUGGAAGCCACCUAGUUGCCCAUUAUUGGAUGAAUGGAUAAGCAAGAUGUGGUAUAUAUACCUAAGGGAAUACUUCUGAGCCAUAACAAAUGAUGAAAUGUGGCUAUUUGUGACAACAUGGAUGGACCUUGAGGGUAUUAUGCUAAGCGAAAUAUGUCAGAGGGAGAAAGUCAAAUACUGUAUGAUCUCACUCAUAAGUAGAAGAUAAAAACAAUAGCAAACAAUCACAUAGAGACAGAAAUUGGAUUGGUGGUUACCAGAGAGGAAGAGGGGAGGGAGGAGGGUGAAAGAGGGGAUUAGGCACAUGUGUGUUGCGAUGGAUGGUAAUUACUCUUUGGGUGGUGACCAUGAUGCAAUCUACACAGAAAUCAAAAUAUAAUGAUGUACACCUGAAAUUCGUAUAAUGUUACAAGCCAAUGUUACCACAGCACAAAAAAGAAGUAUUGGGGAACAUGGGCUGAAGUCUAUUUAUGACAGCAGGAAAAAGAUGGUUGGGACUCAGGAGGUGAAGGAACUGAGAGGACAAAGUGUUAAAUACUGAAGUCAGAAAUGAUAACAGCCAUAGUCUAGACAUAAGGAUAGCAAGGUAUGCACUAAAAUCUUCAAUGGGGGUGAUGCUGAGGAUAAUAUACAUCUGUAUUAAGGAGGGAUGGCUGAUAGUAUCAGUGAAGAAUGCCUGGUGGCAGUUGCUUUUAUGGAGCAUUUUUGAUGAGGAGGGAGAAAAAUAAAGAAGGGUCUGGAAGCAUAAGCUAGGAUGAAGAUAUAUAUAUAUAUAUAUAUAUACUCUUACCUCUGGGAUCUGAGAUACACUAGGAACACGAGAAAACUGAGUCAUCUCUUGAAAAGGUUUUAAGUAAGGGGAAGAUGCAAGGACUUUUGCUGAAGAAAAACCAGGUGUCCCAGGAGGCAAGAGAGAAAGGUCUCAUGAAGCAGCAGAACAAUUGAAAGUGAGUCAGAACAAUAUAAAGCUCUCUGCAAAUCCACAUAGGGAUAAGGAUCUGAGUGAGGAUGGACGGCCUCCUGCAGUGACCAAAGUAAAUAGGAAUGAAAGGCCCUGUGUGAUUAGUCCUGCUGAACUCUUAGUCAAAAUGAACCAUCACUUUCUUGGGAUUGGUCCAGUAGCCAAUUUAUUGAGGUCGGAUGAGAACUACUCUGGGGGAAAAGAACCAAGGACAUGGAUUGGAGAGCUUCCUGGGAGCACUAGUAGCUCUGAAGGACUCUAAAUCUGCUCUGGGCAAUGUUGGGCCAAGUUGGCCUCUCUUGAAACUUGCUGGGGGCCUGUUGAUGGAAGAAAGGGGAAGGUCGAAGCAGUCUUCUCAGCAUGCCCUGGAGUCCAUGCUGUGGAUGUUGUUAAGGUCUAAAGUUGGGGGAAAUCUGACAAGAGGAGACAAAUGUUUCCCUACAGAGUCUGUGUCCUUGACUCCUACUGAAUCCAAUGGAAAUGCUUUGCCUUGCUGGAAAGUGUGCACCAUGUAUCUUCCCUUUCCCCCUGCAGACAUAUUUUCCAUCUUUCCCUACCCUGACCCGUGCCCUGGGUAGCUGAUUUGCAUGGACUGCAUCCCUUGUCCUCCAGUUUCUGGCUGGGUUUGCCCAACUGGAAACUGGAGGGGAAGAGGAGAAUGAGGUCACAGUAUUUAUUUCCCUUGUUCCUCUCCUGUUGAAUUCUCAGUGAGCUAUUGUAACCCUGAAUUAAAGAUCCAGAAUCUGUGAUGUGACCUUCCAGACAGAGCUCUCUUACUUCUGAUGUUUUGUUAACUACUCCUUGCCCUUGCUCUUUCAAGCCUAGGGGUGGUCAUGACGUUCCACUCUUUCUGGUCCUGGGGUAUUGCAUUAUUCUUUGUGGUUUUCCUAUUCCCUGUCCACAGGUUUGUGAAGCUUUCUCAAAUAAUCUACUUUGAGUAUGCUGUUUCCUGCUACAAUAAUGAUAAAAAUACAGUGAAUGAUGCCAGGGGUAGCCCUGAGAAGUGGGCUUUUAAAUGGGAUUCUGGAAUUGGGUUGCUCAUAUGUUCGAGAAAUGAAAAGAUAACCCUUUUUGCUGUGGAGAGAUGGGAGUGAGUAAUCCAGGGUGUGUGAUAGCAGGCAAUAUAUACAUGCAACAUGCAUGUGGCUAGGUGGGAGACAAAGUAUUUGGAGAUGAA